CAGUUGGAGCUUCCAGGCUGCUUUGUUUACCUAAUCAAGCCUGGGCAAUGGCGGGCGCCCCUCCCCCAGCCUCGCUGCCGCCUUGCAGUUUGAUCUCAGACUGCUGUGCUAGCAAUCAGCGAGACUCCGUGGGCGUAGGACCCUCCCAGCCAGGUGGGGGAUAUAAUCUCGUGAUGCGCCGUUUUUUAAGCCUGUCGGAAAAGCGCAGUUUUCGGGUGGGAGCGACCGGAUUUUCCAGUGAGAUGAACCCGGUACCUCAGAUGGAAAUGCAGAAAUCACCGUCUUCUGCGUCGCUCACGCUGGGAGCUGUGGACUAGAGCUGUUCCUAUUCGGCCAUCUUGGCUCCUCCCCCGGGUGUUGGUGUCCCUCUGUUGCCCAGGCUGGAGUGCAGUGGCAAGACUGGCUCACUGCAACCUCCACCUCCUGGGAUCAAGCGAUCCUCCCAUCUCAUCCUCCAGGAGCUGGGACUAAAGACAGUUGACCAUUAAACAACACAGGUUUGAACUGCGUGGAUCCACUUAUAUGCAUACGUG
rnacentral:antisense_RNA from 1 species